GAUGAACGCUGGCGGCGUGCCUAAUACAUGCAAGUCGAGCGAACAGACGAGGAGCUUGCUCCUCUGACGUUAGCGGCGGACGGGUGAGUAACACGUGGAUAACCUACCUAUAAGACUGGGAUAACUUCGGGAAACCGGAGCUAAUACCGGAUAAUAUAUUGAACCGCAUGGUUCAAUAGUGAAAGACGGUUUUGCUGUCACUUAUAGAUGGAUCCGCGCCGCAUUAGCUAGUUGGUAAGGUAACGGCUUACCAAGGCAACGAUGCGUAGCCGACCUGAGAGGGGGAUCGGCCACACUGGAACUGAGACACGGUCCAGACUCCGACGGGAGGCAGCAGUAGGGAAUCUUCCGCAAUGGGCGAAAGCCUGACGGAGCAACGCCGCGUGAGUGAUGAAGGUCUGCGGAUCGUAAAACUCUGUUAUUGGGGAAGAACAAAUGUGUAAGUAACUAUGCACGACUUGACGGUACCUAAUCAGAAAGCCACGGCUAACUACGU
rnacentral:rRNA from 1 species